rnacentral:rRNA from 1 species
CCCGCUGAACUUAAGCAUAUCAAUAAGCGGAGGAAAAGAAACUAACAAGGAUUCCCCUAGUAACGGCGAGUGAAGCGGGAUGAGCUCAAAUUUAAAAUCUGGCUGGUUUACUAGUCCGAAUUGUAGUUUAUGGAAGCGUUUUCGGUGGCAGCCUGGGUAUAAAUCCUUUGGAAUAGGGUAUCAUAGAGGGUGAGAAUCCCGUCUUUGACUCAGUGCAUGCUACUAUGUGAUACGUUUUCAAAGAGUCGAGUUGUUUGGGAAUGCAGCUCAAAAUGGGUGGUAAAUUUCAUCUAAGGCUAAAUAUUGGCGAGAGACCGAUAGCGAACAAGUACCGUGAGGGAAAGAUGAAAAGCACUUUGGAAAGAGAGUUAAACAGUACGUGAAAUUGUCGAAAGGGAAACGCUUGGAGUCAGUCGCGUCCGGCGGAACUCAGCCUCGCUUCUGCUUGGUGCACUUUCCGUCGGACGGGCCAGCAUCGAUUUCGGACGCCGGAGAAGGGUCGGGGGAAUGUGGCACCUCCGGGUGUGUUAUAGCCCCCGUGCCGUACGCGGUGUCCGGGAUCGAGGUUCGCAGCGCGCCCCGCGAGGGGUCGGGGGUUCGCCCCACGUCACGCGCUUGGGAUGCUGGCGUAAUGGCUUUAAGCGACCCGUCUUGAAACACGG